rnacentral:rRNA from 1 species
AGAGUUUGAUCCUGGCUCAGGAUGAAUGCUAGCGGCAGGCUUAACACAUGCAAGUCGAGGGGCAGCGGGGAGGAAGCCUGCUUUCUCCGCCGGCGACCGGCGCACGGGUGAGUAACACGUAUGCAACCUGCCCCUGUCAGGGGGACAACCCGCCGAAAGGCGGGCUAAACCCGCGUACAUGCCACCGGGGCAUCCCGGAGGCAGGAAAGGCUUCGGCCGGACAGGGAUGGGCAUGCGGCGCAUUAGGCAGUAGGCGGGGUAACGGCCCACCUAACCGACGAUGCGUAGGGGUUCUGAGAGGAAGGUCCCCCACACUGGUACUGAGACACGGACCAGACUCCUACGGGAGGCAGCAGUGAGGAAUAUUGGUCAAUGGUCGGGAGACUGAACCAGCCAAGCCGCGUGAGGGAGGAAGGUACAGAGUAUCGUAAACCUCUUUUGUCAGGGAACAAAGGCGGGGACGUGUCCCCGGAUGAGUGUACCUGAAGAAAAAGCAUCGGCUAACUCCGUGCCAGCAGCCGCGGUAAUACGGAGGAUGCGAGCGUUAUCCGGAUUUAUUGGGUUUAAAGGGUGCGCAGGCGGUCUGUUAAGUCAGCGGUCAAAGCCCGGGGCUCAACCCCCGGCCCGCCGUUGAAACUGGCAGUCUCGAGUUGGAGAGAAGUAUGCGGAAUGCGCGGUGUAGCGGUGAAAUGCAUAGAUAUCGCGCAGAACUCCGAUUGCGAAGGCAGCAUGCCGGCUCCACACUGACGCUGAGGCACGAAAGCGUGGGUAUCGAACAGGAUUAGAUACCCUGGUAGUCCACGCAGUAAACGAUGAAUGCUGGCUGUCCGGGGGGAUUGACCCCUGGGUGGCGAAGCGAAAGCGAUAAGCAUUCCACCUGGGGAGUACGCCGGCAACGGUGAAACUCAAAGGAAUUGACGGGGGCCCGCACAAGCGGAGGAACAUGUGGUUUAAUUCGAUGAUACGCGAGGAACCUUACCCGGGCUCAAACGGGGAGUGACUCAGGCAGAGACGCCUGUUUCCCACGGGACACUCCCCGAGGUGCUGCAUGGUUGUCGUCAGCUCGUGCCGUGAGGUGUCGGCUUAAGUGCCAUAACGAGCGCAACCCCCGCGUGCAGUUGCUAACAGAUAACGCUGAUGACUCUGCACGGACUGCCGGCGCAAGCCGCGAGGAAGGCGGGGAUGACGUCAAAUCAGCACGGCCCUUACGUCCGGGGCGACACACGUGUUACAAUGGGUGGUACAGCGGGAAGCCAGGCGGCGACGCCGAGCGGAACCCGAAAUCCACUCUCAGUUCGGAUCGGAGUCUGCAACCCGACUCCGUGAAGCUGGAUUCGCUAGUAAUCGCGCAUCAGCCAUGGCGCGGUGAAUACGUUCCCGGGCCUUGCACUCACCGCCCGUCA